rnacentral:rRNA from 1 species
AUUGAACGCUGGCGGCAGGCUUAACACAUGCAAGUCGAGCGGAGCGAGGGUGCUUGCACCUUAGCUUAGCGGCGGACGGGUGAGUAAUGCUUAGGAAUCUGCCUAUUAGUGGGGGACAACAUUCCGAAAGGAAUGCUAAUACCGCAUACGCCCUACGGGGGAAAGCAGGGGAUCUUCGGACCUUGCGCUAAUAGAUGAGCCCAAGUCGGAUUAGAUAGUUGGUGGGGUAAAGGCCUACCAAGGCGACGAUCUGUAGCGGGUCUGAGAGGAUGAUCCGCCACCCUGGGACUGGGACACGGCCCAGACUCCUACGGGAGGCAGCAGUGGGGAAUAUUGGACAAUGGGCGGAAGCCUGAUCCAGCCAUGCCGCGUGUGUGAAGAAGGCCUUUUGGUUGUAAAGCACUUUAAGCGAGGAGGAGGCUCUUAAGGUUAAUACCCUUGAUGAGUGGACGUUACUCGCAGAAUAAGCACCGGCUAACUCUGUGCCAGCCGCCGCCGUAAGAC